GAUGAACGCUAGCGGCAGGCUUAACACAUGCAAGUCGAGGGGCAGCACGAUGUAGCAAUACAUGGGUGGCGACCGGCGCACGGGUGCGUAACACGUAUGGAAUCUGCCCUUUACUGGGGGAUAGCCCGGAGAAAUCCGGAUUAAUACCCCAUAACAUGCUUGGUGGCAUCACCAGGCAUUAAAAGCUCCGGCGGUAAAGGAUGACCAUGCGCACGAUUAGCUAGUUGGUGAGGUAACGGCUCACCAAGGCUACGAUCGUUAGGGGGCCUGAGAGGGUUAUCCCCCACACUGGUACUGAGACACGGACCAGACUCCUACGGGAGGCAGCAGUGAGGAAUAUUGCGCAAUGGAGGCAACUCUGACGCAGCCAUGCCGCGUGCAGGAAGAAGGCGCUACGCGUUGUAAACUGCUUUUAACCGGGAAGAAACCCCAGGACGUGUCCUGGGUUGACGGUACCGGAGGAAUAAGCACCGGCUAACUUCGUG
rnacentral:rRNA from 1 species